rnacentral:rRNA from 1 species
ACACAUGCAAGCUGAGCGGUAGAGAUCUUUCGGGAUCUUGAGAGCGGCGUACGGGUGCGGAACACGUGUGCAACCUGCCUUUAUCAGGGGGAUAGCCUUUCGAAAGGAAGAUUAAUACCCCAUAAUAUAUAGAGUGGCAUCACUUUAUAUUGAAAACUGAGGUGGAUAAAGAUGGGCACGCGCAAGAUUAGAUAGUUGGUGAGGUAACGGCUCACCAAGUCGAUGAUCUUUAGGGGGCCUGAGAGGGUGAUCCCCCACACUGGUACUGAGACACGGACCAGACUCCUACGGGAGGCAGCAGUGAGGAAUAUUGGACAAUGGGUUAGCGCCUGAUCCAGCCAUCCCGCGUGAAGGACGACGGCCCUAUGGGUUGUAAACUUCUUUUGUACAGGGAUAAACCUAUUUACGUGUAAAUAGCUGAAGGUACUGUACGAAUAAGCACCGGCUAACUCCGUGCCAGCAGCCGCGGUAAUACGGAGGGUGCAAGCGUUAUCCGGAUUUAUUGGGUUUAAAGGGUCCGUAGGCGGAUGCGUAAGUCAGUGGUGAAAUCUCACAGCUCAACUGUGAAACUGCCAUUGAUACUGCGUGUCUUGAGUGAGGUUGAAGUAGCUGGAAUAAGUAGUGUAGCGG